rnacentral:rRNA from 1 species
AUGUAUGCUUUUAGCGGAAAUAUUAUUAAAGAUGGGAGCAUAUGGAUUGAUUCGGAUCAACAUGGAAUUGUUACCUCAUGCUCAUUAUCUAUUUUUGCCCUGGUUAGUAAUAAUAGGAGCGAUCCAAAUAAUCUAUGCAGCUUCAACUUCUCUUGGUCAACGAAAUUUCAAAAAAAGAAUAGCUUAUUCCUCUGUAUCUCACAUGGGUUUCAUAAUUAUAGGAAUUGGUUCCAUAACCAACAUUGGACUCAAUGGAGCUAUUUUACAAAUAUUAUCCCAUGGAUUUAUUGGUGCUACACUUUUUUUCUUAGCAGGAACUGCUUCUGA